GUUCCAUUGGGUUCCCAUAGGGUUCCAUUGGGUUCCAUUGGGUUUCCAUUGGGUUCCAUAGGGUUUCCAUCAACUUUCCAUUGGAGAUUCCCAAUCUUCAGACCCCAUUUGUUCCCCCCCCCAUUUCCAGGCCCCCCCCCCAAUUUACUCCUUGAGGAAGAAGUGCAUCUUGUCCCCUACCCCCUUCCUCUCGGGGUUGAGUCCCAUUGUGUCCCAUACGGUUUCCAUAGGUUUUCCAUAGGGUUUCCAUCAACUUUCCAUUGGACAUUCCCAAUCUUCGGACCCCAUUUGUUCCCCCCCCCAUUUCUACGCCCCCCCCCCAAAUUACUCCUUGAGGAAGAAGUGCAUCUUGUCCCCUAUCACCUUCCUCUCGGGGUUGAGCCGCUUUAGGAUCUGUGCCAAAGCGUUGACCGUCUGCUCCGAGCUCAGCGCCGUGCGCCGCGCCGGGAAUUUCUUCAGCAGAUCCUUGGUGGUCAUCGGCUUCCGGGCCAGGUAGCGCCGCACUGCGUCCUCCGUCAGCUGCACCUCCCUAGGGGGGGAAAUUAUGGGAUGUGGGGUCAUUUAUGGGGUCGUAUAGGGCGUCAGAUAUGGGGUUGUAUAGGGGGUCAGAUAUGGGGUUUGGUUGGGGGGGGUAGGGGUGUAAUUACAGAGUGUGACCACUGGGUGGCGCUGCUGGGUAUCUAUGGGGGGUUAUAUGGGGUUAGAUGGGGUUAGAUGGGGAUGGAUAUGGGGUUAGAUAUGGGGUUGGAUAUGGGGUUAGAUGGGGAUGGAUAUGGGGUUGGAUAUGGGGUUAGAUGGGGAUGGAUAUGGGGUUAGAUAUAGGGUUAGAGAUGGGGUUAUAUGGGGUUAGAUAUGGGGUUAGAUAUGGGGUUAGAUGGGGAUGGAUAUGGGGUUGGAUAUGGGGAUGGAUAUGGGGUUAGAUGGGGUUAUAUGGGAUAAGAUAUAGGGUAAGAUAUGGGGUAAGACAUGGGGUUAGAUUUGGGGUUAGAUAUGGGAUUCUAUGGGGGGUUAUGGGGUGCAAUUACACUAUGCGACCACGGGGUGGCGCUGUGGGGUCUCUACGGGAGGUUCUAUGGGGUCGUUUGGGGUCAUAUGGGGUCACGUGGGGUUCUAUGGGGUUAUAUAUGGGAUUCUAUGGGGGUCAUAUGGGGUGCAAUUACACCGUGCGACCACGGGGUGGCGCUGUGGGGUCUCUACAGGAGAUUCUACGGGGUUCUAUGGGGUCGUAUGGGGUCAUAUGGGGUCACGUGGGGUUCUAUGGGGUUAUAUAUGGGAUUCUAUGGGGUUAUCUAUGGGGUUACCUAUGGGGUUACCUAUA
rnacentral:lncRNA from 1 species